rnacentral:tRNA from 1 species
CGGAGUGUAGCGCAGUCUGGUAGCGCACAUCGUUCGGGACGAUGGGGUCGCAGGUUCGAAUCCUGCCACUCCGACCA